GCUUUAUAUCUUGUCUUAAAUAUCUAUCUUAAAUUUUGAAUGAGUAUUUCCCUCAUGUGUGAAGUCUGGCUUCAUUUCCUUUGCUGACCUGCUUCUGUUAUUAUCGGCUGUCUCUAAUUGAUUUCACCUGUGUCUCAUCAGUCUGAGUGGAUGCGUGUCACACACCUGCCUGCUUUCCCCUGGAUUCCCUGUUGGAUUUUCUUUGACUGGACUUUAAGUUUCACUACUUCUGUGGCAUCUUCAGUUGUUCUCAGUUGGGAAUUUGCCACCACUUCGAGUUUCUUUUGCCUAAUUAGGACUACUCUACUGUUAACAUCAAGGACGGACAUCGAGUUAGAGUCUUUACACAGGUGAAGAGAUGGAGACUUGACGCCACAUCUGUGAUGUCCCUGAUUGGAUGUUAAAGCCAGAGGAGAGAUUGACGGCCAAUCAUGGUUCCCUACCUGCUGAAGCUUUUCAUGCUGGUACCAGAGCAAAGGUCUCAACAAAGCUGACAUGUCCAGCUCGACAGAUACAGGACUUGUGUACUAGACGCUGCUGCUGAGGUCAUUGGGAGGAAUCCAGUAUAUGCAACUUUCCCAACGGGUGUAAGACGAGUGUAUGCUCGCAAGCCGCCUUUUUGAAGAGGUGCAAAGUGAGCUGGUGGUUUUAAAGGAUCAGACUGAUUGAUGACCUGACUGGAUUUGUGAUUACAGAAGUAAUGAGAGCAUAUCCCCUUGCCUCAUCCUGCACUUGUCCUUCCUCCACCAUGCACACUGACAGUAGGAUUUGGCCAACAAUGGACCCAGUGGAAGAAAUUAUCAGAAGGUCAGAAGUUUGUCACUGGGAUACUGCCAAAACCUGGCAGAUACACCUGGAACCUGAUCUGCAGCCACUCCAAAGAGAUUCCAGGAGCGAGCAAGGCCCCAGUUCUGCUUGAAUCUACUGGUAAGGCUCCAGCCUGGCUAUGACAGUUUAUGGGGCGGUACAGUUGGAUGCCCCACAUUCAGCAUCCCAGGGGGUCAACCAAGACACCUGCCAGAAAAGAUAGACACUGGAGGAGGAGGCAGGUUCAUACAGACCUUCUCUUACACUGUUUCUAGCUCCACAGUCUUAGCCUCCUCUGCCAGGUCAAAGCCAUGGCUUUCAGCAAUUCAGUCUUCGGAACAUCAGCCACCACCUUCAUCAGGUCCCUGCUGCCAAGGCCCAUACCAAGCCCUCCUCUAGUUUCUGUUCCUGUGCAGGGCCCUGCCGCCUUGAGUGUUGUCCGGAUUGGUUCCUCCCCCCUACCUGUCCUCUAGACCCAUGAUUCCCAACCUUUUUUCCUCAGGGAAGCCCUUCAUGCAUAUAUUAAAAUGCCAUGGACCCCUUGCUUCACCCUGUGCUGAAACCUUGCUGGUUUUUAGGCUUUCUAAAGGGAGAUUCUCACCAUAAAUAAUGUAUUCUGGUUGAGUCCUGUCCUUUGAUAAAGCCAAAG